rnacentral:lncRNA from 1 species
AAUCUGUGGCUUCUCCUCUUCCCAGGGCCUUUUGAGUUUGGUAAUGGCGUCAUGUGUUGGCUGUGUAGAGAGGCCCCUUUGAAGCACUUACGGAUGCUUUGAGUAGUCCCUUUUGAAAGAGGCUAGUGCUGAUGGAGGAGGGGUUGGAAAUCCCUCUGGUAGCCAAAAGAUGGUCUCAGAACAAUUCGGAACACACUGUGGGGUGUUGGUAAUACCAGGUCUCCUGAGGCGUCCGGUCUCUGUGGAAAAUGAGUGUAGUGAACUCGGCGGCAGACCCACCCACCUCCUCUCAGUGACACAGCUUGAGAGUAUGUGAGGCUCUCUCCAAACUGGCUGCACUAUAGCCUUGCCUGAGGGAACUGAACAACCUCAGAGGAAUGGAAACCCCUAUUGCUAGGUAAAGGAGGAAUCCCGUGUGUGCCUUGUCUAUGAGGCAAAACUGUGGGGAUGUGGCAGGGGCUCAACUGGGAACUGUCUGAAUGGACCUGUGCUCACUAUGGAACUGGGAUCUAGUACAUGGCAGGCAAGGACUCUUCACAUUGAGAUAACGGCAGAGUGUUCCUGUCGUCUCCUGGCCCGGAAGCAGUGACUGCCCUGUGUCCAGUGUCUGGCUGCUGAGUCCUUGGGAACGUGCCUAAGUGUCCCAGUUCCUGUGUAUGAUCCCACAGAGCCUGCCUCCUGCACAGUCCUGAAUGGCAUCAUUGUAACAGUCUGCUCCAUGUUUAAGAUUCUAAGUGACCCACAUUACUAAAGAAUGUCUUUCAAGAGAGGAAAACUAAAUGGCCAGUAAGAAAGGAUCUUCACAAAGACGUGCCGAGGCAUUGAGGUCCAAUUCUUCAAGGUCUUCAGAGGCUGCCAAACUCAGGCUCCCACCCUCUCCUUCCAUGGGAGUCUGUCUAGGCUGAAAUCUAAGUCCAAAUGAAUGAAUCUGCUUGGGGGGUGGGAGCAAGCCACAGCUGUGACUCUAGCUCACUGGGGGUUUCUGUUUUAUAGGCGGUCAGGAUCGAGUCUCUGAAAUUAUCAACUUGGGACUAGGAAAACAAUUGAUACUAUCUGAUUUGUAGAAUAGCCCUGGGUAGGGAAAUACUAAUUUUAAAUAUCAUUCAUCUUUCCUUUUAUCCAGUCUCUGCGCUGUAAUGGAAUUAGGUGAAAGGACUGAGUCCAAGCUGUAGUGAGCUCAGGGGAGCUUGCACACCGAACUGACAAAUUAAUCUGUGGACAGCCCUCAUCCAGUACUUAUUUAGUCAAUAGUCAGUGAAUGAGAAAAGGGGAAAGCACAUUUUUCCUUUUUCUUUCUCUAUUCCUUCCUUCCUUCUUCCUUCCUUCCUUCCUUCCUUCCUUCCUUCCUUCCUUCCUUCCUUCCUUCCUUCUUUCCUUCCUUCCUCCCUCCCUCCCUCCCUCCCUCCCUCUUUCUCUCUCUCUCUCUCUCUCUCUCUCUCUCUCUCUCUUUCUUUCUUUCUUUCUUUCUUUCUUUCUUUCUUUCUUUCUUUCUUAUUUACUCAUUAGAAUUUUUUCCAAUCAGCAUACUGUGAACCUUCUGUAUCUUUUCCAAAACCAUCAAUUUUCAGCUUAAUUGUUUUUCCCCCCUUCUGACUAAAAUGUGAACUCUUGAAGUAAACGUAUUUACAUGUUAAACUUCCCAGACUGAGUUAAGAGAAUUAGAAAAGGACUCAGGAGAUAGGAAAUAUGUUCAGCUCUGUGGAAGAGCUCAUUAUGGAACGUUUCCCAAACAGCUCUGCAAUGAAUGCAUUGUGAGACCACCUAUAAUCGAUAGACACAUGUGUAAACUGUUAAAGGAAAUACUUAGCAAGGUUUCAGAAUUUGAGGCUGAUGGGGGGAACUUCUGCUAUUUGAAUUUAUAAGGAGCACCAGGUUGCAGGGCACAUCACACUAGCACUCCUGUGAUCCUAGCACAUGUUAUUAUAUAAGUCUGUUUGUGUUAGUGGGGGUACAUAUGUGUGCAUGUGUGCACAUGCAGAGGGCAAAUGUGAACCUGUGUGUAAUUCCUUAGGGUACUGCCUACCUCGGUUUUUUUUUUAGGCACAGGCUCUCAUUGGCUCAGGCCUCCCUUAUUUGGUUAUGUUUGCUAGCCAGUGAGCCCGAGGGACCCACCUGUCUCCCCAGCUCUGGGAUUCCUUCUACCUGCCAACAGGUUGGGGAUUUUUUUGUGUGAGUUGUGAAGAUCCAACUCAGGGCUUCGUGCUUGCUAACAUAGCAAGCAUUUAUUAGCCAUGUUAUCAUCUCUGCUUCCUGGGGUGUGUCCAUUCAUUAACUUAUUCAAUAAGCAUUGUGACUGAAUGGUGCAAUGUUCUACUGAGAAGAACUUAGAACCAAUUUUCUGUGCUCGAAUCCUGACUCUAUCAGGUAUCAUCUGCUUGAACUUGGCCAAAUCACUUGACUUCUCUGAACCCCAGUUUCUUUUUUGUAGAAGGGGUAAUAAAUAAAUAAGGGGUAGGACAAUGUGGAGUUUUCAAUGACAUAAUUAAUUAAUACAUAUGUUGCUUCCCUAGUGCCCAGGACACAGAGUGUCCUCAAAAGGACAUGAUUACGCUGUUUUCUCUUUGUCAGAGCACUGUCUACAUAUACACUCUGUGCCAAGCACUGGAAAUGGCAAUGGCCACACCACCUCCUUCAAGGCAUUCUCCUGUGAGGGAGAGACAUUUAAGCCACUGAGGAUGAGAGCAUCACACAUGUUGAGAACACAGCCACUUCUUCACAUACUUUCGAGAAUAAAAUCUG